CAAACCCCUCACACCUGAGAGAGCUGGAUCUGAGCUACAAUCACCCAGGUCCAUCAGGAGUCCAGCUGCUCAAACAAAGAUAUGAGGAUCCAAACUAUAAACUGCACAUACUCAAUUUGGACCAUGGAGGACAUUUCAGAAUCAAACCAGGACUGAGAAAAUAUGCCUGUGAUCUCACACUGGAUCCAAACACAGCACACACUCAACUCAUCCUGUCUGAAGACUACAAAAAAAACUGGAAUGUGUGA